CAUCGCUUCAGGGCGGGGCGCAACUCCCCACCGGCGGUAAGCUCACUCUCGAGCAAGCCCGCGAGCCAAUGACUGGUGUCAUUUGCAGAUUUGGUGCAAAUCCAAAGCCGACGGUAUAGUCCGGAUGAAAGAAGUCGACG
rnacentral:ncRNA from 2 species